GGAAAUUGGUUUCAUCAAGUCAGUCAAUUGCGCUUAACUGAAAAGAAUAACAAAGAAUGGAUAAAUCCUGGAUGAGUACUGAUAGAACGAAAAAACGCUAUAGAGAAGGAGUCGCGGCGUUUCUGCGGUAUGCUGUCAACCAUGUCAAGGAGGAGGGUGAUACAUUUGAUGAAUUUCUUAUGCUAUGUCC